ACUCCUGCGGGAGGCAGCAGUGGGGAAUAUUGCACAAUGGGCGCAAGCCUGAUGCAGCCAUGCCGCGUGUAUGAAGAAGGCCUUCGGGUUGUAAAGUACUUUCAGCGGGGAGGAAGGCGAUAAGGUUAAUAACCUUGUUGAUUGACGUUACCCGCAGAAGAAGCACCGGCUAACUCCGUGCCAGCAGCCGCGGUAAUACGGAGGGUGCAAGCGUUAAUCGGAAUUACUGGGCGUAAAGCGCACGCAGGCGGUCUGUCAAGUCGGAUGUGAAAUCCCCGGGCUCAACCUGGGAACUGCAUUCGAAACUGGCAGGCUAGAGUCUUGUAGAGGGGGGUAGAAUUCCAGGUGUAGCGGUGAAAUGCGUAGAGAUCUGGAGGAAUACCGGUGGCGAAGGCGGCCCCCUGGACAAAGACUGACGCUCAGGUGCGAAAGCGUGGGGAGCAAACAGGAUUAGAAACCCCAGUAGUCCCA
rnacentral:rRNA from 1 species